GUGGGGAAUCUUCCGCAAUGGACGAAAGUCUGACGGAGCAACGCCGCGUGAACGAUGACGGCCUUCGGGUUGUAAAGUUCUGUUAUACGGGACGAAUGGCACGACGGCCAAUACCCGUCGUAAGUGACGGUACCGUAAGAGAAAGCCACGGCUAACUACGUGCCAGCAGCCGCGGUAAUACGUAGGUGGCAAGCGUUGUCCGGAAUUAUUGGGCGUAAAGGGCGCGCAGGCGGCGUCGUAAGUCGGUCUUAAAAGUGCGGGGCUUAACCCCGUGAGGGGACCGAAACUGCGAUGCUAGAGUAUCGGAGAGGAAAGCGGAAUUCCUAGUGUAGCGGUGAAAUGCGUAGAUAUUAGGAGGAACACCAGUGGCGAAGGCGACUUGCUGGGCAGCAACUGACGCUGAGGCGCGAAAGCCAGGGGAGCAAACGGGAUUAGAAACCCCGGUAGUCC
rnacentral:rRNA from 1 species